CACAUGCAAGUCGAGCGGAUGAGAGGAGCUUGCUCCUGGAUUCAGCGGCGGACGGGUGAGUAAUGCCUAGGAAUCUGCCUGGUAGUGGGGGACAACGUUUCGAAAGGAACGCUAAUACCGCAUACGUCCUACGGGAGAAAGCAGGGGACCUUCGGGCCUUGCGCUAUCAGAUGAGCCUAGGUCGGAUUAGCUAGUUGGUGAGGUAAUGGCUCACCAAGGCGACGAUCCGUAACUGGUCUGAGAGGAUGAUCAGUCACACUGGAACUGAGACACGGUCCAGACUCCUACGGGAGGCAGCAGUGGGGAAUAUUGGACAAUGGGCGAAAGCCUGAUCCAGCCAUGCCGCGUGUGUGAAGAAGGUCUUCGGAUUGUAAAGCACUUUAAGUUGGGAGGAAGGGCAGUAAAUUAAUACUUUGCUGUUUUGACGUUACCGACAGAAUAAGCACCGGCUAACUCUGUGCCAGCAGCCGCGGUAAUACAGAGGGUGCAAGCGUUAAUCGGAAUUACUGGGCGUAAAGCGCGCGUAGGUGGUUCGUUAAGUUGGAUGUGAAAUCCCCGGGCUCAACCUGGGAACUGCAUUCAAAACUGUCGAGCUAGAGUAUGGUAGAGGGUGGUGGAAUUUCCUGUGUAGCGGUGAAAUGCGUAGAUAUAGGAAGGAACACCAGUGGCGAAGGCGACCA
rnacentral:rRNA from 1 species